rnacentral:rRNA from 1 species
UACGGGGGGGGCAAGCGUUGUUCGGAAUUACUGGGCGUAAAGGGUUUGUAGGUGGCUUGCUAAGUCACACGUGAAAUCCCUCAGCUUAACUGGGGAACUGCGUGUGAAACUGGCGAGCUUGAGGACAGGAGAGGAACGCGGAAUUCCAGGUGUAGCGGUGAAAUGCGCAGAUAUCAGGAGGAACACCGGUGGCGAAGGCGGGUCUCUGGGCCGUAACUGACGCUGAGGAGCGAAAGCGUGGGGAGCAAACAGG